AAAAAGAAGCCCAAGGCAGAUGUUCUGCCAUCAGACCUCUCUGUCCAGAUGGAAGACCAAGAUGAAGAAACAUGGAUUAAGUUCCGUUCAUAACAACAGAAGCUGGGUUGAGCUUCUCACAGGACACGCACCGUGCCCACUGUUUUCCAGGUGCCAUCUUGGAACAUCACUCAGAGAAGGCAGUGGCACCCCACUCCAGUACUCUUGCCUGGAAAAUCCCAUGGAUGGAGGAGCCUGGUCGGCUGCAGUCCAUGGUGUCGCGAAGAGUCGGACACGACUGAGCGACUUCACUUUCACUUUUCACUUUCAUGCGUUGGAGAAGGAAAUGGCAACCCAAUCCAGUGUUCUUGCCUGGAGGAUCCCAGGGACAGG
ensembl:lncRNA